AUACGGACGAUGCGAGCGUUAUCCGGAUUUAUUGGGUUUAAAGGGAGCGCAGGCGGAGAUGCAAGCGUGACGUCAAAUUUCGGGGCUCAACCCCGUCUCGCGUCGCCAACUGCGUCCCUUGGUUGCGGGAAGGGUAGGCGGAACUCGUGGCGUAGCGGUGACAUGCAUAGAUAUAACGAAGAACUCCGAUCGCGAAGGCAGCCUUCCGGCCCGUCGACGACGCUCAUGCUCGAAGGUGCGGGUAUCAAACAGGAUUAGAUACCCUGGUAGUCCGCACAGUAAACGAUGGACACCCGCGGUUUGGCCUAUAUGGCUGAGCCGCCAAGCGAAAGCGUUAAGUGUCCCACCUGGGGAGUACGCCGGAAACGGUGAAACUCAAAUGAAUUGACGGGG
rnacentral:rRNA from 1 species